GGGGACAUAGUUCAAUGGUAGAAUAAUGGUCUCCAAAACCAUUGAUUCCUGUUCGAGUCAGGAUGUCCCCGCCA
rnacentral:tRNA from 1 species